rnacentral:RNase_P_RNA from 1 species
UACAUGAACCGUAGGAGUAGCUCUUGAACAAUCAAGAGAGGAAAGUCCGGGCACCUAGAGCAGCGUAUCCGUCGAAAGGCGGACUUCCGAGGUAAGAUUCGGAACGGGACAGUGGCACAGAGACAAUACCGCCCACCAAUGGUGGGUAAGGGUGAAAAGUGUGAGGUAAGAGCUCACAGCUUCGACGCCGAAAGGCUCGAAGAAGCAAAACCCUGCGUGGUGCAAGUCCGGUGGACCGUGCCGAUCAACUGUGGCUCGCAGGAUCGACCACGGUCCGGACGCGUAGAUAGAUUACUCCUCCCGCCUCAGGCGGGACAGAACCCGGCUUAUGAGUUUGUGUACUUA